AACUUUCAACAACGGAUCUCUUGGCUCUCGCAUCGAUGAAGAACGCAGCGAAAUGCGAUAAGUAAUGUGAAUUGCAGAAUUCAGUGAAUCAUCGAAUCUUUGAACGCAAAUUGCGCCCUUUGGUAUUCCGAAGGGCAUGCCUGUUUGAGUGUCAU
rnacentral:rRNA from 2 species